UACGUAGGGUGCGAGCGUUGUCCGGAAUUAUUGGGCGUAAAGAGCUCGUAGGCGGUGUGUCACGUCGGCCGUGAAAACCUGCAGCUUAACUGUGGGCGUGCGGUCGAUACGGGCAUCACUGGAGUUCGGCAGGGGAGACUGGAAUUCCUGGUGUAGCGGUGAAAUGCGCAGAUAUCAGGAGGAACACCGGUGGCGAAGGCGGGUCUCUGGGCCGAUACUUACGCUGAGGAGCGAAAGCGUGGGGAGCGAACAGG
rnacentral:rRNA from 1 species